AAAGCCUUCAAGGGGAGCCUCCGGCUGAGAGUGGACGCUGUGUCCAGACCCUUCGAACCUGUCAGUUAGCACUGGCGCAGGGAUGGCGGCUUUUUUGAUG
rnacentral:ncRNA from 2 species